AUCAUUCCACCUUGGUCUCUCAAAGUGCUAGGAUUCCAGGUGUGAGCUACUGGGCAUGGCCCAGACUUUCUUUACACAGUUCUUCAAGGAGGGAAACAGACAUGAAAUUGUGAGAUUACUUUAGGAUUUGCUUUGGGUCUCAUUUUUGUCUUUCUCAGUCCUGCCAUCUCUACUUUGUCAUGGACAAGUGGGCAGGGAGUCGCAAGGAAGAGUCAGGUGGGUUUCCCUCUUUUCUAUCACUUCUCGGGCACUAGGGCUCAUGUCAGCUUGGUAUUGAGCCCUUGUUUUAGAGCUUCAAUAAGGUUAAAGGCAUACUGAGUUGGUGAUCUCAUCAGUUUCUGGGUGCUGGCAGUCCAGUGACAUCUGUCUCUUCACGAUGAGUGGUCUUGUUCAUUACCCCAGCAAGCCACACAAAUCUUACCUCUUCACAUGUGUGUCAGCAAACCUUUUCUGUAAAGGUCCAGACAGUAAGCAUUUCAGGCUUUAAGUCUGCCAUAGUAGUACAAAAGCAACCACAGAACAUGUGUAAGUAGAUUAUAGAACACAUGACUAUGUUCUAAUAAAACUUUAUUAACUAAAAAUAGGCUAUAUUUUGCCAAUUCCUGCCUUAGACUGUAGAGAUAACUUAACUUUUGGCUUAAUCAUGACUAGAAACUUCUUCCUUUCUGUCUCCUGGAUCCAUCUGUGUUCCCACAGAGACAUCUUGUCUGUAUGAACAGUGAGUGGAAUUUAGGUUUUGAGUGACAGGUGGGGCUUUGAAACAGGAGAUUGGUGGCUGAAGAGCAAAAUACAGUACAGGGCCAGGGAAGUCUGGAUGAUAGGGCUCAGAGAGAAGGGCUGAAGGUGAAUUAGGAAAGCCCUGGGAAGGAGGCAGCUCUGGAACAUUCUUAGAGGAGGCAUGUCCAGGAAGGGGAAUAGGCCCAGAAAGAUGGCUGAGAUGGUGUUGAACACUGAGAACCUCUGUAUGGUUUCACAGGUAUGUGGGGGUCCGCUUGUGGAGGGACUGGAGUGCCAGGUCUCAGGAGCAUGGCACUGGGAAGCCAUUGGAUGGUUGUGUUCAGGAGAGUAAAGUGAUUACAAAUGCAUUUUGGAAAUGUCACCCUGGUCAUAGAAGGACCACGUCUGUAGUUAUAAAUUAUAUUUUUCAGUUUAGUCUGGACUUUAGUAAAAAGAUUAGUUAUUCUUGGUACUAUAGUGUGAGAGGCCCAGAGAGUUGGAUGGUUUUUCUUACCACUGGUUUCACCCUGCCUUUGACAUGACAGAACAUGAAAAAAUCUUCCAUCUUCAGGCUUUGUCUCUCCUGCUAUGAAACAUUGCUUCAAACCUAAUUUUGGCUUGGGGCCUUUAGUGUAUAAGGGUAAAGUGGUGGGGACAGGCUGCCCCUUGCUCCACAAUCAAGCCACACUGCAAGAAAGCUUUAUGGAGCAGAUUCCCUUCCUUUGUGCGUGCCCCCAGGCCCAUGGACAGCGUGGAGGGCCAGCCUUCUGACACAUGCUGGUCUCUAUUCUGCAGAAGCCUGCAGACCACUAAGGCCAGGUGUGUCACAGAGUGCUCUGGUUUUGGCCUCAGAUUAGGUGCAAGGGAGAUGAAGGUGAAUCAGACAGACAUGGUGCCUGCCCUGAGGAGUGCUCGGGGUAGUUGGGGUGAUGAAGAAAACCAUAAACGUGGUGUUUUCUGCACUGCAAGUCUUUCUCCUUAGAUGGGUUUCUAAGCAGGGUGAAGGGAGCUACCAUCCACAGAGCAUUGGUAAGGUGCCAGGGAUGUGAGGUAUGGACACUCUCCUUUAUUGUGAGCAAAACUUGGGAGUGACUGCUGCUGUCGUUGGCACAGGAGCCCGGCAUCCCUGUGACUGGGCAGAUAGGGCUGGUGAGACUACCUGACACAGCUGCUGUUCCAGUGAAGAAGCCCCACGAUCCUGGGGGGUAGUGGCACCAACUCCACAUGUGGCUCUCCCAGGAUCUGAGAGGGAAGGAGCAGCCAUGGGGCUGGCAGGUCUUCACUGUAACUGCUUGCCACUCUGUGGUCACAUCUGGCCCUUUGGGACUGAGCCAGGAGGUGACAGCUGUGGCGCUGCCGUAGCAGAGUUGUGCCAGGUAUGUGGGGAGGUAUGCCCUUGCUUUAACUGAAGCCCUGCCAGGCCCUGGGGGAGACAGAAAGCCACUGAAAACUUCAGAAAUUGGAUGCUGCUUGCUUUCAGUGAAGUUGUUUGCUAAUCUCUGAGAAUCAAGUGAGGGAUAUAGAAAGAAGGAGCCCCUGAGAAGCUGAACUUUAGGGCAUGUUGGCUGCUUUCUUCAGGCUUGUCUGCAUCCUUCUCUGGUAGGGAUGUGCCCUCUGGGAUUUGCUGCCUGGUUGUCUCCCAGGGACCUGGAAUGGCACCCAGGCUAUGACAGUAAAUGUGUAAGUUCCGAGGAGGAGUUCUCCUUGCAUUUUCUAGGUAAGUUUCUAGGUUUAUGAUAGAGAAAGUAACAAACUCAAGCCUGGCAAGUAGAGGGCCCUGGCUUUGGUGAACAAAGUGCAGUCUGUCCCUGGCUGCGAUACUAGAUGUGGCCUUUCCUCUGGCAGUGAGUCCUGUGCUGAAGCUCCAGUCUCCCAGGUGGGUGUCAGGCACUGCAGUUGGAUAUCAGAGCCUUGUAGGUGCAGCCCUGUCCCAGCCCUCAGGCACGGACUUGUUGCUCUCUGAUGUAUUCUCUUGCUUAGGGAAACAAACAGUAAGUCAGAAAGUCUUUUUGACUCUAAGCUAAAUAUUCCUGCAGCUAAUUUACAAGUCAGGGUUUUUGUUUUAUUAUUAUUUAUGAAAUGAAUCAAGAAUAGGAGUAAGAGUUUAAAGUAGCUAGGAAGACUAGAUAACUACACCUUCUAUAAGAGAAGGUCCUUUUUCUCCUGUAAUUUAGAAAUUGUUUUAGGUUUCGGUAGCCCCUUUUCCCCUCUUGUGGGCAGCUUGUACUGUCUACCCUUUUGGAAUUUGGUUUGUUGGGUGACUGGUAAGACACUGAAUCCAGACACCUGUGUUUCCUAGAAAUGUGUGUCAUUUUCCAAGCCUCCUUUUGUACAUACAGACAGCUUCUCACUGACCCCUGACGUAGUGGUGGGGGCGGACUUGUGAGGUACCAUUUGGAAGUAGCCAAAUUUCUGGUUCCUCUGGUUCCAGAAAUACUUCUGUCACCGGAUACUAGGCCUGAAGUGCCACCAUUAGACCAUCCCUCCUCCUACCUAGCAGCCUUUCAUGCUCAGACUGGCCCUGUGCGAUCAGGGGAUGUUUACUCUGCACCCCUACUUCUUAGAGGGGGGUGCUGAGUGCUGCUUUCCCCUUAGCUCACUUAAUAUGGCAGCUUUUCAGUGUUGGCCCCUGCCCUAGCUGUGUAAGAGGUGUUUAGUUACAAUUUACUACCUUUCCUGGAGAGGAGGCUCAUAUUUAGCAUCUCUGCUGGGGAACCAUAGUGUAGGCAUCCUUAAGGUCUGACCAGGAGUCUCACUUAGCAUCUGCCAGGAAUCAGGGGUGGAUCUUGCUCUCUGCUGAGCUGUCUCUAGCCUCCAGGUGGAUUUACUUUCCAGCAUACCACAGCUUAGGUAGGCAAAGCUAAUGCUGGGCCAGGGGUGAACUCCUGCUGUUGUCACUUCCUUGGGCAAUCCUAUACUUUAGCAUUGUUUAUCCUGUUUUCCCCAAAGCAUCUUUGAACUCAGGCCUUUCACUGUAGACUAUCUUUCUGGCCUGUUGUGCUGAACCUGUGGUUUCUGUAAGUGGCUGGUUGGGCCCCAUCACUUGUUUAGAAGACAGGUCUCCUAAGGUAGCUAUAAUUAGGACAACUGCACUUCCAGGAAUAGUGAGGCUGAUGGGCCUGGGCCCAUGCUCUGACCAUUAGCUCCAUGCCCAUGUCCUGUCUUCCUGGAGGAUCAGAGCCCGUGGGACUUGGCUUCCAUCUAGGAAGGAAGUAGGAGGUGUGGCCAGUCUAGACUUGAAGCCCUAACAGUAGGCUUCCUUGACACCAAGGAGUGAGGUAGCCCUGCUCAGCUGUGGCCCUUGUUGGGCUUCAGGGUCAGGAGUGUAGGUGGCUACAUGGAGAAGCAUAGUUGUGGAUAGAAAGCCUUUUUUUGCUGGACGGUUAACGCAUAUAACAUUGGACUCCUGACUGUAGCUUACUGUUGUCUGGUGAUGGCCAACUAGUUUUUAGAAAUCUUAUUUAAAUAUCUAUCAUGUAGCUAUUUACUAUGUUUUUUUCUGAAUACUCAAGUGUAAAUAGUAUAAUUUGCAGUUCAAAGUCCUAGGCAAUAACUUUGUUGUGUAUUACGUUAAAAAUCAUUGGAAACCGUGACCACCGUGGAUUGUCCUUCCCCUCUGGGGCAAUGAUUACAUGUAGGACUCUGAACUUUAAAACCUUCGGCGUGGUUGAAGCAGCAGCCUGCAUUCGUGGACUGUCAUCAGUGCCUCGCCCAGAGAUGCCUGGCCUUCAUCCAAAGGGACCCUGCUGCCCCGACUCCUGCAGGCAGCACCCACACUGUGGCUUCAUCGUGCUGAGUAUGUUGGACUCCGCCAUAGACUGACCCUCCUGUCUGGCUGCUGCAGUUUGUCUGUAAUGCCCUGACAUGUUGCAUUUUCCCCAUUUGGAUGAAUAAAAAUGCUUCUGUCCUAAA